CCUACGGGAGGCAGCAGUGGGGAAUUUUGGACAAUGGGCGCAAGCCUGAUCCAGCCAUGCCGCGUGCGGGAAGAAGGCCUUCGGGUUGUAAACCGCUUUUGUCAGGGAAGAAAAUGUUCUGGAUAAUACCUGGGACUCAUGACGGUACCUGAAGAAUAAGCACCGGCUAACUACGUGCCAGCAGCCGCGGUAAUACGUAGGGUGCAAGCGUUAAUCGGAAUUACUGGGCGUAAAGCGUGCGCAGGCGGUUAUGCAAGACAGAGGUGAAAUCCCCGGGCUCAACCUGGGAACUGCCUUUGUGACUGCAUAGCUAGAGUACGGUAGAGGGGGAUGGAAUUCCGCGUGUAGCAGUGAAAUGCGUAGAUAUGCGGAGGAACACCGAUGGCGAAGGCAAUCCCCUGGACCUGUACUGACGCUCAUGCACGAAAGCGUGGGGAGCAAACAGGAUUAGAUACCCUGGUAGUCCACGCCCUAAACGAUGUCAACUGGUUGUUGGGAGGGUUCUUCUUCAGUAACGUAGNUACGACGUGAAGUUGCGCCUGGGGNGGAGCGCGAGUAGAGUAGAGAGAGUAGAGCGNGAGAGNGACGAGACGACGACGAGGGAGGAGG
rnacentral:rRNA from 1 species